rnacentral:lncRNA from 1 species
AAAGGCAGGGGUUGGGGGUGGAUCCUUCACAAAUGGACAUUUGAGUAAAUGCUGGAAUGAGUUCAGACAUUGGGAGACUGUAGAGAAUGCAUCAUUGUAUUUUGCAGUAUAAGAAGGAUAUGAAAUUGGGGACCACGGGGAGAAUAAUAUGAUUUGGCUCUGUGUCCCUACCAAAACUCAUGUGGAAUGUAAUGGGGAAUGUUAAAUGUGGGGCUUGGUAGAAGGUGAUUUAAUCAUGGUAGAGAAUGGGGGUUGGAAGGUGGAUGUGGGAGAAUGGGGGUGCAUGGUAUGGGUGGGGGUGAAACGUGGGGGUGGGUGGCAGAUCCUUCACAAAUGGUUAAAUACUAUCUCCUUAAUGCAGUCUGUGUGAUAGUGAGUUCUCAUGGUAAAUGAAUGCUGUCCUGCUGGGUUUUGGACUCGGAUUGGGCCUGUGUCCCAUUUGUGUUAUUUUUCUGGGAAAAUCUUCCCUUUGGAUUGAGAAAGCUUACCCAGUGCCUGUGCCAUCAUUGUAACUUGAAAGAAAAGAAUUGUCUUUCACAUUCAGGGACUCAUAGGCAGAAGGGAUUGCAGCCUUGUCUUGGAUGAGACUUGAACUUACUACAUUUGAGUUACUGCUGGAAUGAGUUAAGACUUUUGGAAACUUUUGAAAAGGUAUUUUUGUAUUUUUCUGUGUGAGAAGGACAUGAGAUUUGGAGGUGUCAGGGUCAGAACAAUAUGGUUUGGCUGUGUUUCCCCACAAAAACUUAUGGGGAAUUGUAUUCCUGACUGUUGUAGGUGGGGCCUGGUGGGAGGUGAUUUAAUCACAAACGGGAGGUUGGUAGGGGUGGAAGGGAAAACAAGUUGGUAGGGGUGGAAGGAAAAACAAGUAGGUAGGGUGGGGAGGAGUAGGCUGGCAGUAGGGUGGUGAGAGGGUGGUGGGCAGUAGGAAGAGGGAGUAGCCUGCUGCAGAGGCAGAGCCUCAUGGAAAACCUCUACCGGGGCAGUGCACUUGUGGCUUUGCAGGCUUUAGCCCCCAUGGCUGCCCUCGUGGGCUGGGCUGGUGUUGAGUGCCUGUAGCUUUUCCAUACUGAGAAUGCAAGCUGUUGGUGGGUCUAUGAAUAUGUGGUCUGGUGGAUGGUAACCUCCUGCGUGCGGCCUCCAAGCCCAUAUAUUUUUUCUGCACUGUCCUAGUAGAGGUUUUCCAAGAGGCUCUGCCUCUGCCUGAGGCUUCUGCCUGGAAACAGUGGGGGGUGGGGGUGGUAGGGGGCAGAUCUUUCACCAAUGGUUAAGCAACAUCUUCUUGAUGCUGACCUUGUAAUACGGAGUUCUCAGGAAAUCUGGUUGUAUAACAGGGUUACACAACGUGUGGCACAUUUUUCCUCUCUCUGUCUUUUUUCUACUUCUGCCAUAUAAAACUUCCCAUUGCUGCUUGGUCUUCUGGUAUGAUUGGGAGGCUUCCUGAGUCCUCCCAGAAGCAGAAGCCUCUAUGAUUUAUUUAAAGCUUGCAGAACCAUGAGCCA